AGAGUUUGAUCCUGGCUCAGGAUGAACGCUGGCGGCGUGCCUAACACAUGCAAGUCGAACGAGGUAUUAAGAGCUUGCUUUUGAUACCGAGUGGCGGACGGGUGAGUAAUGUAUGAGCAACCUGCCUUUCAGAGGGGGACAACAGUUGGAAACGACUGCUAAUACCGCAUAAUGUUUUUGAGCGGCAUCGCUUAAAAACCAAAGGAGCAAUCCGCUGAAAGAUGGGCUCAUAUCUGAUUAGUUAGUUGGUGAGGUAACGGCUCACCAAGACUGCGAUCAGUAGCCGGACUGAGAGGUUGAACGGCCACAUUGGGACUGAGAUACGGCCCAGACUCCUACGGGAGGCAGCAGUGGGGAAUAUUGGGCAAUGGGCGAAAGCCUGACCCAGCAACGCCGCGUGAAGGAAGAAGGUCUUCGGAUUGUAAACUUCUUUUAUGAGGGACGAAGGAAGUGACGGUACCUCAUGAAUAAGCCACGGCUAACUACGUGCCAGCAGCCGCGGUAAUACGUAGGUGGCAAGCGUUAUCCGGAUUUACUGGGUGUAAAGGGCGCGUAGGCGGGGAUGCAAGUCAGAUGUGAAAUCUGUGGGCUCAACUCACAAACUGCAUUUGAAACUGUAUCUCUUGAGUGCUGGAGAGGUAGACGGAAUUCCUUGUGUAGCGGUGAAAUGCGUAGAUAUAAGGAAGAACACCAGUGGCGAAGGCGGUCUACUGGACAGUAACUGACGCUGAGGCGCGAAAGCGUGGGGAGCACACAAGAGUAGAUACCCUGGUAGUCCACGCUGUAAACGAUCCAUACUAGGUGUGGGAAGAAUGACCCCCUCCGUGCCGCAGUUAACACAAUAA
rnacentral:rRNA from 1 species